UACGUAGGUGGCGGGCGUUAUCCGGAAUUAUUGGGCGUAAAGAGCGCGCAGGUGGUUGAUUAAGUCUGAUGUGAAAGCCCACGGCUUAACCGUGGAGGGUCAUUGGAAACUGGUCGACUUGAGUGCAGAAGAGGGGAGUGGAAUUCCAUGUGUAGCGGUGAAAUGCGUAGAGAUAUGGAGGAACACCAGUGGCGAAGGCGGCUUCCUGGUCUGUAACUGACACUGAGGCGCGAAAGCGUGGGGAGCAAACAGGAUUAGAUACCCU
rnacentral:rRNA from 1 species